rnacentral:rRNA from 1 species
AUUGAACGCUGGCGGCAUGAUUUACACAUGCAAGUCGAACGGUAACAGGCCGCAAGGUGCUGACGAGUGGCGAACGGGUGAGUAAUGCAUCGGAACGUGCCCAGUCGUUGGGGAUAACUACUCGAAAGAGUAGCUAAUACCUCAUACGAUCUAUGGAUGAAAGCGGGGGACCGUAAGGCCUCGCGCGAUUGGAGCGGCCGAUGUCAGAUUAGGUAGUUGGUGGGGUAAAGGCUCACCAAGCCAACGAUCUGUAGCUGGUCUGAGAGGACGACCAGCCACACUGGGACUGAGACACGGCCCAGACUCCUACGGGAGGCAGCAGUGGGGAAUUUUGGACAAUGGGCGCAAGCCUGAUCCAGCAAUGCCGCGUGCAGGAAGAAGGCCUUCGGGUUGUAAACUGCUUUUGUACGGAACGAAACGGCUCUGGUUAAUACCCGGGGCUAAUGACGGUACCGUAAGAAUAAGCACCGGCUAACUACGUG